rnacentral:rRNA from 1 species
CAUCCAAAACUACUAAGCUAGAGUACGAGAGAGGAGAGUAGAAUUUCUGGUGUAGCGGUGAAAUGCGUAGAUAUCAGAAGGAAUACCAAUGGCGAAGGCAGCUCUCUGGCUCGUCACUGACGCUGAGGUGCGAAAGCGUGGGUAGCAAACAGGAUUAGAUACCCUGGUAGUCCACGCCGUAAACGAUGAGAACUAGCCGUUGGGCAGAUUUAACUGUUCAGUGGCACAGCUAACGCAUUAAGUUCUCCGCCUGGGGAGUACGGCCGCAAGGCUAAAACUCAAAUGAAUUGACGGGGGCCCGCACAAGUGGUGGAGCAUGUGGUUUAAUUCGAUGCAACGCGAAGAACCUUACCAACCCUUGAAAUCUAGCGAAGUUCACAGAGAUGAGAAUGUGCCUUCGGGAACGCUAUGACAGGUGUUGCAUGGCUGUCGUCAGCUCGUGUCGUGAGAUGUAUGGUUAAGUCCAGUAACGAGCGCAACCCCUAUCCUUAUUUGCCAGCGCGUUAAGGCGGGAACUAUAGGGAGACUGCCGGGUGAAACCCGGAGGAAGGCGGGGACGAGGUCAAGUCAUCAUGGCCCUUAUGGGUUGGGCUACACACGUGCUACAAUGGGAAGUACAGAGGGAUGCGAAAGCGCGAGCUGGAGCCAAACCCUUAAAACUUUUCUUAGUCCGGAUUGGAGUCUGCAACUCGACUCCAUGAAGUCGGAAUCACUAGUAAUCGCGAAUCAGAAUGU